AGUGAACGCUGGCGGUAGGCCUAACACAUGCAAGUCGAACGGCAGCACAGUAAGAGCUUGCUCUUACGGGUGGCGAGUGGCGGACGGGUGAGGAAUACAUCGGAAUCUACUUUUUCGUGGGGGAUAACGUAGGGAAACUUACGCUAAUACCGCAUACGACCUACGGGUGAAAGCAGGGGAUCUUCGGACCUUGCGCGAUUGAAUGAGCCGAUGUCGGAUUAGCUAGUUGGCGGGGUAAAGGCCCACCAAGGCGACGAUCCGUAGCUGGUCUGAGAGGAUGAUCAGCCACACUGGAACUGAGACACGGUCCAGACUCCUACGGGAGGCAGCAGUGGGGAAUAUUGGACAAUGGGCGCAAGCCUGAUCCAGCCAUACCGCGUGUGUGAAGAAGGCCUUCGGGUUGUAAAGCGCUUUUGUGGGGAAAGAAAAGCAGCAGGUUAAUACCCCGCUGUUCUGACGGUACCCAAAGAAUAAGCACCGGCUAACUUCGUG
rnacentral:rRNA from 1 species